CAUCGGUGGUGGAGGGGGAGUCGGGACAGGGUCCGAGGCGUGGCGAGUUGUGUGUGAUGUUGAGAGUCCGAGCGAGGGGUGGUCGCAGAGGAUGAGGUGCAGAUUCUUAGUCGGAUUCCCUCCGAUGCGAAAGCAAGUGACGCGUCCCUGCGCUUCUGAUGUGUUUCUGUGAGUGUGUGAGGCGGUUCCCCUGCGUCCCUUCCCGGCGCGGUGAUGUGUCGAUGCGGGGGAGGGGGGCGGCGCGGGCGCGGUGUGGCGUUUGUUGGGCGAACGGAGGCUGCGGUGAGGAUUGACAGCUCCCUCUACUGAAUAGCAGUGAGGACACCGCUUGGCAUGAAUCGAACCAUAAAACCAUGGCCGACUCUGAGCAGCCUGCGUGGGUGAGGCGCGUGACGUUAGCGUGUGGUAGGUGACAUGGGGAUAUGAGGAUACUUUCCCCAAAUGAUCGACACUGAUUCGAGCUGUGCGUUCAUGCUCCAAGGAGCCAAGCCAGAAAUCUGAUCCCUGGGGGAGUUGCGUGGGUGAGUGGUGGGUGUGAGGCGGUGAGGUAGGGGGGCAGAGUCGGUGACGAUGAACUCAUAGGCUUGUUUCUCAAAAAUUCGCAGUGGCCGCCUAAAGCUUUCGCCCCGCCGGGCUGGAGAGCUAAUGCAGCUUCCAAACCUUCCUUGGAUAUCUGAGACUCUGUGGGGGUGGUAGAGUGGUAGAGUGAGUGGGCCGUGUUUGGCGAUGAUUAGAAAACGCCCGCGCUUCUGAGGGGAAACCCGCUGAGGUGAAACGGACAAAAUGGUUGAAUUUCUUCGGAUGAGCCUUGCACGGGGGAGCGAUCAGAGAGCGUGGGGAGUCGGGGGGAGGGAGUGAGGUGUUGCGAGGAACCGAUGAUGACAAAAGCGGAGUGAAGCUUUCGAGCCUGUGAUCAUUCCAUUGUUACACACACUGAGGUUUGCAAGGGUGAGCAGGUGAGUAAGUGCACGGUGAAUGGGUGAAACAGGACACCGGAAGGGUGUACCUCUGAGAGCUCAUCCCACGAGAUUCGCUUGUCCCGAAGACCCACAACCGCACUCUUCUCAAUGAUUUGAUACUUAAACCCUCGUCAUCGAAAUAUGAAGUACGAAAUAUCCAAGAGAAGGAGUCGAAAGAGGUCCAAUGCACAAAAUGACGAAUCCGACAAAAUGAGUUGCAAUGAAAAACAAUUCUCCUUCGCUAUGACUCCACAUAAUUGCGAAGAGUGCAGGAGCAAGUGAACCUGCAAUAGAAAGAGAACACAGAAAAUUAUCUUUUGGAGAUAUUAUUCAUGAAACAUUUCUUCUAGAAAUAAUAACUAAUGAUUAUAGUAGUUUUGUGGUAUUUAAUAUCAUUAAAUCUCUUCUUAAUUCAACCAUUUUUAGAUUUAUUAUAAUUAAAAAAACAUAAUCCUUGAAUAGAUUGAAUAUCUUAUAAACUUAACUUUUUUGAAAGUAAAACUAAGAAUGUAGCUAAUCAAAUAAAAACUUAUAAGUCUAGUGCAAGCAAACAUGUAUUUGUAGGUGCAAAAGCUUUCUUACAUGCUGCAAAAAAAUGAUAGCUUGUGUCAUUUAUACUACACCUAUUUUUUAUAGUGAAAAGACUUCAAAUGAUAUUCCUAGUCAAUAUCAAGAUUUUCAACAUAUAUUUUAAAAAAACAAUGUAAAUGUUUUUUGGAACAUUGUUUCUAAGACUGUUCAA